rnacentral:lncRNA from 1 species
UUUCCUAGUGGUCCAAUCACUCGAACCAAGGCACGACAAUUAAAAUCAAAGAUGAAUGCUUUUGUCCAAGACUUUGUUGCGACAAAUUUAAUUCAUCAUGUUCGUGACAUUGACAAAUACGAGAAUGCAAUUCACUGGACCAAUCUUGGAAUAGUAAAAGCCCAUAAAUUGGUGGAUUAAUUUUUUAUGUAUCUUAUUAUUAUUAUUAUUAUUAUUAUUUACUUAAUUCUCAUUGGUUGGGACACAUCAUUUAUGAGUUAAGUAAUUUUAUUGGUUAGGUUAUUAUUUAUUUAUUUUCUUAGAUAAUUUUAAAGAGUUUUAUUAGG